rnacentral:lncRNA from 1 species
CUGAGGCCCCGAGGGGAGUGGGAAGAGCCGGCUGGACGUCAGGCCCAGCCGCUGGUGCAGUGGUCCGUCCCCUCUGCCGGGGUGGGCCCCUCGGGUUUCGCGUGUCCUCGGGAAAGAGACUGGCGGGUGAGCCGCGCCCUCGGCCUUCGCUGGGCUAAGCCGACCCCAUGCAGACGUCAAACCCCCCUAGGUCGGCACAGCCUCUCUGCGGGGAGGCUUAGUGCCCCCUUGAGAAACGGCUUGGCAACGCUGUGCCCGGGGCCUUGCACGCGGGCUGAGGGGGCUAGAGACCUCGCGACUUUUACUCCCCCGACCCCGAUCUCCGACUCCUGACUUUGGAAGCCCCCAAAGCUGCUUUUCGGUUGCCUACAAAGUGUCGGUCAUUGUGCCACGUCCUUGGAACCGUGAACUCAUUUUCUCCUCAAUAACCUUUAAAAAGUAGCUGUAAAACCUCCAUUUUACAGACCAGUUGGCUGAGGUUUAAAUGGAGGACGCUCCCAGGGCCCCAGAGGGGCGAAUUCCAGACUCCUUUGCCAGGACCUUGUACUAAGCCCCUUCCCUACGCUUUUCCCUGCCUAGGCCUCGUGGGCUGUGCGGCUAUCCUGGAGACAGAUGACAGCUCUCCCUUGGAUGGCUUUGCUGGUUCCGCACCAGCCAGCGCCCCCAUUUUUCCUGCAGCACCCUGAUCUGCACUCCCUGAGGGGCUCCCACUGUCCGCGGUGUGAGGAUGUCCCUGGAAAUUGGUCUUCUGUGACUUUCUUGAUGGGGGCAGAUGAGAUCUUUGUACUGCAUUAAGUGGAUAGCGCUCAGGUCCUUUGG